rnacentral:rRNA from 1 species
AUGAAUCGUACGUUGAGGUCGACGCAGAGGUGCACGAUGAGAAUGAAAAUGAUGAUGCAAGAGAUCCCGGAGCCCGACUAUGAUACUCGGUUCGGGAGGACCGGCAACUACAUGGAGACGGAGGAUGUGUGCUUAGUUAAAGCAUGGGAAAGCAUCUCUCUUGACUCCAUCACCGGAAAGGAUCAAACUUAUAACAACUAUUGGCAAAGGAUGGAAGACAAAUUUCAUCAAAUGAUGCCAUUCCCAUCCGGUCGGAGCUUGAAGGGCCUUCAAGGCUGUUGUGACACCAUCAACAAAGCUUGCUCCCGUUAG